rnacentral:rRNA from 1 species
CUACGGGCGGCUGCAGUGGGGAAUAUUGGACAAUGGGGGAAACCCUGAUCCAGCAAUGCCGCGUGUGUGAAGAAGGCCUGCGGGUUGUAAAGCACUUUCGGUUGGGAGGACUGCUUCUAGCACUAAUAUUGUUGGAAGUUGACGUUACCUUCAGAAGAAGCACCGGCUAACUCCGUGCCAGCAGCCGCGGUAAUACGGAGGGUGCAAGCGUUAAUCGGAAUUACUGGGCGUAAAGCGCGCGUAGGCGGCUAGAUCAGUCGGGUGUGAAAGCCCCGGGCUUAACCUGGGAACUGCAUCCGAUACUGUCUAGCUUGAGUACAGGAGAGGAGAGUGGAAUUCCACAUGUAGCGGUGAAAUGCGUAGAUAUGUGGAGGAACACCAAUGGCAAAGGCAGCUCUCUGGCCUGAUACUGACGCUGAGGUGCGAAAGCGUGGGGAGCAAACGGGAUUAGAUACCCCCGUAGUC